rnacentral:rRNA from 1 species
GAAAGACCCCGUGAACCUUUACUAUAGCUUGGCACUGAACAUUGAAUCUACAUGUGUAGAAUAGGUGGGAGACGUUGAAUCACAGACGCUAGUUUGUGUGGAGUCACCUUUGAAAUACCACCCUUGUAUAUUUGAUGUUCUAACAUUGGUCCCUAAUCGGGAUUGUGGACAGUGUCUGGUGGGUAGUUUGACUGGGGCGGGCGCCUCCCAAAUGGUAAGGUAGGCGUACAAAGGU